rnacentral:lncRNA from 1 species
UUUUCAUCAUUCACACAAUCCAAUCAAAUUUCCUAGGUUUACCAACAUUUUCAUCAUGCACACAAUUCAAUUAAAUUUCAAGGGUUUAACAACAACAUUUUCAUCAUUCCCACUAUUCAAUCAAAUUUCAUGGGUUUAACAUCAUCAUUUUCAUCAUUCNACAUCAACAUUUUCAUCAUUCCUACCAUUCAAUCGAAUUUCAUGGGUUUAGCAUCAACAUUUUCAUCAUUCCCACAAUUCAAUCAAAUUUCAUGGGUUAAACAUCACAUUUUCAUCAUUUCCAUAAUUCAAUCAAACUUCAUAGGUUUAACAAAAACGUUU